rnacentral:rRNA from 1 species
AUUGAACGCUGGCGGCAUGCCUUACACAUGCAAGUCGAACGGCAGCACGGGUGCUUGCACCUGGUGGCGAGUGGCGAACGGGUGAGUAAUACAUCUGAACAUGUCCUGUAGUGGGGGAUAGCCCGGCGAAAGCCGGAUUAAUACCGCAUACGAUCUACGGAUGAAAGCGGGGGACGUUCGGGCCUCGCGCUAUAGGGUUGGCCGAUGGCUGAUUAGCUAGUUGGUGGGGUAAAGGCCUACCAAGGCGACGAUCAGUAGCUGGUCUGAGAGGACGACCAGCGACACUGGGACUGAGACACGGCCCAGAGUCCUACGGGAGGCAGCAGUGGGGAAGUGUGGACAAUGGGCGAAAGCCUGAUCCAGCAAUGCCGCGUGUGUGAAGAAGGCCUGCGGGUUGUAAAGCACUUUUGUCCGGAAAGAAAUCCUUGGCCCUAAUACGGUCGGGGGAUGACGGUACCGGAAGAAUAAGCACCGGCUAACUACGUG